rnacentral:rRNA from 1 species
GACGAACGCUGGCGGCGUGCCUAAUACAUGCAAGUAGAACGAGUUGCGAACGGGUGAGUAACGCGUGGUAACCUGCCUCAUAGCGGGGGAUAACUCUUGGAAACGAUAGCUAAUACCGCAUACUGUGAGAUGGACCUGCGUUGUAUUAGCGAGUAGGUGGGGUAACGGCUCACCUAGGCGUCGAUCCCUCGCUGGUCUGAGAGGAGGACCAGCCACACUGGAGCUGAGACACGGUCCAGAUUCCUACGGGAGGCAGCAGUGGGGAAUAUUGCACAAUGGGCGCAAGCCUGAUGCAGCCAUGCCGCGUGUAUGAAGAAGGCCUUCGGGUUGUAAAGUACUUUCAGCGAGGAGGCGUUACUCGCAGAAGAAGCACCGGCUAACUACGUGCCAGCAGCCGCGGUAAUAC